UACGUAGGUGGCAAGCGUUGUCCGGAUUUACUGGGCGUAAAGGGCGUGCAGGCGGCUUGUUAAGUGCAGGGUGAAAGCUCCCGGCUCAACUGGGAGAGGUUCUUGCAUACUGGCGAGCUCGAGGGAGGCAGAGGAAAGUGGAAUUCCCGGUGUAGUGGUGAAAUGCGCAGAUAUCAGGAGGAACACCGGUGGCGAAGGCGGGUCUCUGGGCCGAUACUGACGCUGAGGAGCGAAAGCGUGGGGAGCGAACAGG
rnacentral:rRNA from 1 species